rnacentral:rRNA from 1 species
UACGAAGGGGGCUAGCGUUGUUCGGAAUUACUGGGCGUAAAGCGCACGUAGGCGGACUUGUAAGUAGGGGGUGAAAUCCCCGGGCUCAACCCGGGAACUGCCUUCUAGACUGCAAGCCUGGAGGUCAGGAGAGGCGAGUGGAAUACCGAGUGUAGAGGUGAAAUUCGUAGAUAUUCGCAAGAACACCAGUGGCGAAGGCGGCUCACUGGCCCGAUACUGACGCUGAGGCACGAAAGCGUGGGGAGCAAACAGG